rnacentral:rRNA from 1 species
AUGAUUGGCAUCUUUUGGAACUGUAGGGGGGCAGGUAAGAAGGGCAUGUCUACCUGCCUCACUGACAUGAUUAAUGCCAAUGAGGUGGAUUUCCUUGGAUUACAAGAAACUAUGAAGAGCAACUAUUCCCCUUCGUUUUUUAGAAAAAUGGACCCACAACAAAAAUUCCAUUGGGAGUGGAAUCCUUCUAGGGGGAAAUCUGGAGGCAUCCUUUGUGGGGUUAAUAAAAUCAAGUUUGACAUUCUU